rnacentral:rRNA from 1 species
CGUGGCGGCGUGCCUAACACAUGCAAGUCGAGCGGGACGAUACGACGGAGUCAAAGUUUCGGAUGGAGACGAAGAUGUAUGUUCUAGCGGCGGACGGGUGAGUAACGCGUGAGCAACCUGUCCCUUACAGGGGGAUAACACAGCGAAAGUUGUACUAAUACCGCAUGAGACCACGGGAGGACAUCCUCCAGGGGUCAAAGGAGCAAUCCGGUAAGGGGUGGGCUCGCGUCCGAUUAGAUAGUUGGUGAGGUAACGGCCCACCAAGUCGACGAUCGGUAGCCGACCUGAGAGGGUGAUCGGCCACAUUGGGACUGAGACACGGCCCAAACUCCUACGGGAGGCAGCAGUGGGGAAUAUUGGGCAAUGGGGGGAAACCCUGACCCAGCAACGCCGCGUGAGGGAAGAAGGUUUUCGGAUCGUAAACCUCUGUCCUUGGUGAAGAGGAAGAGACGGUAGCCAAGGAGGAAGCCCCGGCUAACUACGUGCCAGCCGCAGC